GCGGCUGGAGGGCGUCCGACGGGGCGGGGCUCCGCCGCGGGGGCCUAUGGGAAAUGUAGUCCCGGCGCGCGCGCACGGCGGCCUCGGAGCGGGGACGGAGGGCUCCCGGGACGCCAUGGUCUCACUCGCCGCAUGGCUCGACCUCGACUGGUGCGCCCGCCCGUUCGGAAUCGGCUAGGUGGGCCCGGGGCGGUCUCCCCUUGCAACUGUUCAUCAAUGUGAUGAGGACACCGGUCGGGUCAAGGCAUCUGGCGGAAAGAAGUGCCUGGGAAGGGAAGGACGAUGGAGGUGAACAUGUUCCCAGCGCAUCGCCUCACUUCAGAGCUGAGUGGAGGAGGGACGACCCCUGGCAUCUCAUGCAAAGGGCGAGUCCCCGCGAGGCCCUCAGAAGGUGCUCAUGACGUCACCAUUAGCGCCAUCCGCAGACUUUGUCCUAUAAACGGGAGGCAGAUCUGAUGGCUUUGGUUCCUGCUCAUGAAAAGUAUUGUGAGGGUUCUUUUUAAAGUUUUAAGAUUUGGAACCACUCGUUUCAUGGUACGUAGGUAAAAGACAGGAAACUUUUUCUGUGUGUGAAAGAGUAAAUGUAUUGAUAUGGAUAAUAUUAGGUGGAAGUGCCCACCUAUAAGAUCCAAAUUAAAUUCAGAAUAAAAUUGAAGAAAAGUA